UUUGGUCGGGUUCGGGCGCGUCAACAGACCGCCGAACGGACAGAAUCUCCCCUGUACAUCCUAGGCGUUGCAAUCAAUACAAUUCAAGAUGUUCCAAUCAGGAACAGAAUUCAACAUAUAGAUUGCAUAAGGAAGUAUCAAAACAUAAAAUAACUACGCUAUUACAAGCAUUCAUCUCACUUGUAAUUUUUACAUUUCCUUUCCUUUCAAAUACAUUCAACUUCCGAAUACAAUCAAUUAUCACAAGAUUAUUACAAGUUUGAUCAUUUUUCUUUUCUACAACCCCUA
rnacentral:lncRNA from 1 species